rnacentral:rRNA from 1 species
GAUGAACGCUGGCGGCGUGCCUAAUACAUGCAAGUCGAGCGAACAGACGAGGAGCUUGCUCCUCUGACGUUAGCGGCGGUCGGGUGAGUCACACGUGUAUAACCUACCUAUACGACUGGGAUACCUUCGGGAAACCGGAGCUAAUACCCGAUAAUAUAUUGAACCUCAUGGUUCACUAGUGAAAGACGGUUUUGCUGUCACUUAUAGAUGGCUACGCGCAGCAUUAGCUAGUUGGUAAGGGAACGGCUUACCAAGGCAACGAUGCAUAGCCGACCUGAGCGGGUGAUCGGCCACACUGUGACUGAGACAGGGUCCAGACACCGACGGGAGGCAGCAGUAGGGAAUCUUCCGCAAUGGGCGAAAGCCUGACGGAGCAACGCCGCGGGAGGGAUGAAGGUCUUCGGAUCGGAAAGCUCUGUUAGUAGGGAAGAACAAAUGUGUAAGUAACUAUGCACGUCUUGACGGUACCGGAUCAGAAAGCUACGGCUAACUACGUG